CAACACAGCUCCUAAAGAAAACAGACGUCCCUGUUUAGAAGGAGCUCAUUGAGGAGCUGCCUGAUAACUCUCCACCCGGCGCCGUCCUCGCUAACUCCCUGAUUGCUGUGGGCAACCUCAGCACCAUGACACCUGCCCUGGAGCCAGAGCUGGAGACCCACCUCCUCCGAGCUGCCCUGCACGCUGUCUUCACCCUGGGCACGGAGAAGGACACCACCCAAGUCCAGGUAGAUCAUGCUAAAGUCAUGGAUUGAAGAGCCAGCUGUCAUCCUGCCAUGAAUCCUUGCUAAUUGCGUGCAAUGGGAUGUGAAUGACAGGGGCCAGGAUAUGUGUUUGGGGGUCUCACCAGUGCUUCCCAGAGACCCCUCUUCCCAUCCUGUGGCAGGUGUAGCUCCAGUUUCCCUAACUCUGACCC